ensembl:lncRNA
AAGAGGUUUACUUUGGGAUACCAAUGCACUGGGGCUCGACGUGGUCCACACGCAGGAGGGAUGUGAGGAGCCUUGAACAACAGAAAUGUACAGCUUAAACAGUCAUUUACCAUCACACAGUUUCAUUAGCUCAGCUAUUUCGGUGCCGAGGAUAAGUAGGCAGAUGUUUCUCAUCCUGGAAUUCCUGGGAUAAGGCCAUAACCACAUCAAUGCAGCUAUUUCAGUACCAAGGACGUCUGACUUGAUAUAUGUUUUCUUAUCCUGGGGUUCCCAGGACAAGGACCAAGGAUAUCUGUCUUGGCAGGUGUUUCUCUUCUGGAGUUCCCAGGACAAGGCUAUAGCUAUGUCAGCCUAUAGCACAGCUGCAUUCAGUACCAAGGACAUCUCACUUCUAUAGUGGUCAGUCAGCUUCCCAGAGAUGUUUCCUGUCUUGUAAUUGCCCUGCAGUAAAUAUGUUCUAUACCCUCUGUUCUUAUGGCCCGGCAGCUUCCUAGAGCGUGGGUGGGAAUGUGCUUUCUGUACUUUCUGGUCUAUUGUCUAAUGUCAAGGGCCUAAGGGCCUAAAAGAUUCUCAUUCUUAAGAAAUGGCUUUACUGAUAUAUAAAUGGGGAUCUUUCAUAUCCACUUUCUUCCAAGUCUACCAGCCAUCUCAGAUUGUUGCUGUAAUAUGCCUGACAAUCAAGGACACAGAAAAAUAACUUGAUACACAGCAAGGACAUUGUGAUCAUAUCCUGUGUCGUUCUGUAUGUUCUGGAUGAGGUUUGUUAAAAUGACAAUAUUGCACAAAGCUUUAUAUAGGACCCAUCAAAUUAAGGGUCACUAUGCACUGUCAUAGCUAAAAUGGCCUGGUCAGAAAUGACCACUGGAUCACUCUUCUGUAACUUCACAUGAGAGGCUUGUGCUUUUUGUGUUUUUUAUUUUUCUGUUUUAUUUAUUUAUUUAUUUAUUUAUUUAUUUAUUUAUUGCUUUAUAUGUUGUCCGGAAGAUAGUUCAAGUCAUGGAUCUGCCCCCAAAAUCUGAGCUUUGCUACUAAUAGUGUAAACAGUAUUAGUGUAUGCAUUCAAUAAAAUAACUUGUUUUUUUUUUAAGUAGGAUAGAUGCGUUUGUGUUUUGUGGGGUGAUCCAUGAAACAGGAGUGAAGAUGGUUGUUUCUUACUCUGUCCACUGAGUUAUGUCUCUAGGCUUGUCCUACUCCUUUGGCUGCAUCCCCCCCCACACAUCUGCUGACUAUUUUAUUUUUCAGAUGAACUCACACGUUGGAGCUUAGAGAGGCCUGUAAGCAAUCCUGCUUUGGUAACUUAAGUGCAAAGAGGAGAGCUCCACACUCAGCCUGAGGGUGCAUUCACUGGUGGAUCCAAUAUUUCAGUUUCCUCUGCUAACAGAUCCCCACAUUUUUGCCAGGGCCAUAAUGAAUGCAAUUCUUUCUCCUAAGGAAUCUGGUGGCAACUGUCAAAUGUUAAGCACAAAGCUUCAGGUUGUACCUAUAACACACACCCACAUCGCAACCUACCCUACAGGCUAUUUCUGGGUGUGAUUUCAUGCACCUGCACAUGAUGAGACAGGAGACUUCUUUGGCUACUUAUAGGAACUGGUGUGAUUUCUCAGUAAUCUUUAAUGGGUAAUAUUGCUGACUGAGGAGAAUUUGAGGUAGGAUGAAACAUUUCUGUGCAGGGAUUGGGGAGGAAGCACUCAUUUAGAUACAUAGCAAUGAC